GAGAGAGAGAGACAAAGAGAGAGAGUGAGGGGGGGAUUGGAAAAGAGCGAGUGAGGGGUCAGAUGGAGCAGUCGGUCCUGAGAGGAGGACGAGGAGAGAAGACAGAAUUCAGGUUCAGCUGCUGCCACGUGCUGCCACCUCCUGCACCUCCUCACAGAAGAAGCUGACCUUCACGUCCUCCCUCAGCUCAGAGGCUUCAUCAGGGUCUCCACUACAUUCUUCUCCCAACGUUGUGACCAGCAGCUUCAGGGGCCUCAGGUUAGUUCAGCCUGAAGCGUGACGAACCACAGGCAGGAAAGGAUCCUGUUUCACCUCGGCAUAUAUACAGGGAGGCUCGUUACUGGAUCUCUGCCUCCCCCUGGUGAUGCAGCAGAAGACCACAGCUCUUUAAUUCACUGCUUAUGGCCAAGUCCACUGCAAAUGAGAAGGUUUUUCCAAAUUGAAUCGAAGAUCCACUGCUUCAUACGAGGAGUUCCUGCAGCUGAGGUGGAGACAUGCCGGUCGUCAGAAACCCAGAGACCUCGGCUCCUGUCCCGGGCAGGAGCUCCACCUCGCCGGGGCCUCGACUCCCUGACCUCCAGGAGAAGCUGCACAGCCAGCCGGACUCCUUCCUCACCGCGGCUCGCCUCCUCCGCGGAGGAUGGGUGGAGGAGCUGCAGCUUUCCCAUCCAACUCAGCCAGCACGUCAAACAUGUCCCCUCAGGUCCGGUGGAGAUCCCAGCCACGUGGAGGUUUGCUUGAAGGACCCCAGGAGAGGACGACUUCCUGAGGACAGAGAGACGGACUCAGAGAAAUCUGCAGAUGAAGUAAAACCAGUGGACGGAGGAGUAGAGAGAGAUGGACUCAAACAGAAAGCUGGACGGGCGUUCUCAGUUCACAGACAGAAAGGCGUUGUGUGUAUCUGGGCGUCUGGAUGUCGCAUCACGUGCAGACGGCCCCGGAGGUUCAAGGCCCCGAUCCUUCCAGUCAUAGCUGAGAUGUAGUCGAGUGCGUUAGAAAACCACAACGAGGUUAGAACAGCCUUUAGGGGUUUGAAACUCUUCUUGUGAUUGUUGUGUUUUGUUCAUUCAAAUUAAAAUGUGUCCAAAUAA